AGUAAUCCUGACAAAGUUGAAAUUCUUACUCCAGAACUUAAGACACUUUAAAGAAAAAGGAUGGAGCUUUGAAAUUGCCAGUCGAAAUGUACUGUCUUUCCAAUAUUAUGAACUGAUCACCUCUGUUCUGCUGAGGCACGGAAGCUGAUGCUGAUAGAGAAGCUGUCCUCUGCUUCGUUCACUCAGGAAAGAUAUCACUCUACAGCAGUAACUUCCACAUAACUGCAGGGAGUGUUUUGAUAAACCACAGAAGCAGAGCAAGCCAUGUGCACAAAGCCACAGCUGGACUAGUUAGGGGCUUGCUCAGAAAUUGYCUGGGACCUCUUUGGAAGGUGCUUGAAGAGAGCUCUGGGCCUCCAUCAAGUCCUGCUCACGCCCUGUAGACUCAGAGCAUUUCUUUCACUCUGUUAUCAUAAUAUCUUUGAGAAUCAUUACUGUCUUUUGUAGGGAUCAUUAUAUUAAAAUAAAUUAUAUUUAUAUAUAAUG
rnacentral:lncRNA from 1 species